rnacentral:rRNA from 1 species
UACGGAGGAUGCAAGCGUUAUCCGGAAUGAUUGGGCGUAAAGGGUCCGCAGGUGGCAGUGUAAGUCUGCUGUCAAAGAAUGAGGCUUAACCUCAUCAAGGCAGUGGAAACUACACAGCUAGAGUACGGUCGGGGUAGAAGGAAUUCCUGGUGUAGCGGUGAAAUGCGUAGAGAUCAGGAAGAACACCGGUGGCGAAAGCGAGUCUCUGGAUAGCAACUGACGCUGAAGCACGAAGGCCAGGGGAGCAAACGGG